rnacentral:rRNA from 1 species
UACAGAGGGUGCGAGCGUUAAUCGGAAUUAGCGUGGGCGUAAAGGGUCCGUAGGUGGUUAGAUAAGUCAAAAUGUGAAAGGCUCGGGCUUAACCUGAGAAUUGCGUUUGAUACUGUUUGGCUAGAGUAUUGUAGAGGAAAGUGGAAUUUCCGGUGUAGCGGUGAAAUGCGUAGAUAUCGGAAGGAACAUCAGUGGCGAAGGCGACUUUCUGGACAAAUACUGACACUGAGGGACGAAAGCAUGGGGAGCAAAGCAGG